UUGGGAGACAGCGUCGAGGUCGAGCUGGAGGUUGUGUUCCAUCUGGACGAUCCAUUCUUUCUCGGUGAAUUUGGGGUUUAUUAUGAUGGAAAAUGGGGACGCCAUGACUGGUGAGGGAGACUGUGCUUAUGCUUCUUCUUCUUUGUUUGCUAAUGGUUUGUUGGUUGGUUAAGUGGCAUAUGUGCAGGAAGAGCUGCGCUUUUAAUCACGGGCGAAUAUAGAAUCAUGAGCCUCGGGAGAGUGAUCCGUGCCGUGGUGGGGGUAUUGCCUCUGAGGGACAAGGUAAUGCUACGAUUGCAAUAUAAAUAAUUGCGGAAUUGGGAUGGUUAGAAAUUUUGAGCGGAAUUUUAAGUUUACAGCGAGUUUAAAAGAACAUUGGGUGAAUAUAUAUAUUUUUUGGUAUAUAUAGUUUCUGAUAGGAGGAAUCGAGAUAGUUACCAUAUACAAAGUUAAGAAUUGACACAAGCUGUGAGAUCGGUCUCAACAUAGUUCAAGAGAUAUGAAAGAGUAUGUCUCGCCAUUCAAAAGACAACUCUAUUACCUGCAGAUGCAAGCGAGGAUAAGUCGUCAGGAAGUCCAAAUUUUUUACGAUGACACACAUGCCACCUGUUAAAUGCUCCGACAUGAUAGCCUGUAAAGCACCAGCUUCGUGUCUCCUCAAUACCACCUCUCAAAGUCUCAAACCCACACCGAAAUCCCCAAAUAUAUCUCCUGGGGAGCCAACAGACCUGAAUUGGGCCAUACAAGCUCGUACGGGAAAACUCGAGGCGGUACAAGACUAAUAGAUUCAUUCAACAAGAAAGAAGCGAUUAAAUACCGCAUGGGUGUCCACUAUGAGGUGUGAUUAGAUUCGAAUUCAGGACUUCUAGAUUACCAAUUACACAAAUGUACCAACUGAACUAUCUCACUUAAACACAUUGGACAAAUACUUCAAUUUUGAAAAUUUUACAUAGGAUUUCAUCAUUUUGAAACCGGAUAAACCUAAUCAACAGUCAAAUUUACCAACUCCUAAUUCCACCAUUGUGUACCAGCCGGUUCCACCAGAUCGAUCCAGAGUCAAUCGCCAUGUUAGGUAGGGCUCAUCAGAUGAGUGGUUCGUCGAGAAUAUUUGUUCUUUGUGUUGAGUUUUGGUAAUGAUGGUGAUCCUUUUUUUAACAAUACACCCACCUGAACUGAACAAGUUUCUUUGAUAAUUCCUUACGACUAUUAGGCCAUAACAUUUUGAUGCUCAAUUUCAGUGGCAGAGCCGGAAUGUACGGGGUAUGGUAAGUGGAGAGUUCUGACCAAUAAAGCAUCGGUCCAAAAAAAUUAAAGGUUGGGAUAGGGAGAGGAGAAAGCCUUACAAUAGAAGAAGAGAACAAACGAUAGUACCAAACAUUGAAUUGGCAGUUUGUUCAUCCACCAUAUUCUGAUUCAUGAAAGACAGUAAUACAUCCUCCAAACUGGCAUGCUGGAAUCUUUUGGGCCACGGCUAUAAAUAGCUAGGUUUUGUACAUUGAUAAGAUAUUGAUAAGAUACAGAAGUGUGUACUUUUCUACAGUAUAAAAAAACGAGUACGUAUUUAUGCAUGUUAAAAAAUUAAACAUGAAUAAAAACACGUAUACAUGUUUAAAGAGUGC
rnacentral:lncRNA from 1 species